GAGAUUCUAAUGGCAUUGGACUUUAUACUUAUUCUCACUCUUAUAACAGUUCCUAGCACAAAUCAUGAGAUUAUUGUGGGAUUGGAAAUUAAACUACUACACACCCUUUUUACACUGCCUAGCACACAUUAAGAGAAUCUAGUGGCAUUGGACUUUAAACUUUUUUUUCUCUUCAUAACACUGUCUAUCAGAAACCAUGAGAUUCUUGUGGCAUUGGACUUUAAACUUCUUCUCACAAUUUUAACACUGCCUAGCACAAGUUAUGGGAUUUUUUUGCAUUGAACUUAUAUAAUUACUGUCUGGUGAUCAAAUAGAUAUGAAGUGUUAUCAACUUUUGAAAAAAACUGAUAUUUAGUGAAGCUAAAUAAACUCAUCAUAGAUACCAGG
rnacentral:lncRNA from 1 species